rnacentral:rRNA from 1 species
GAUGAACGCUGGCGGCGUGCUUAACACAUGCAAGUCGAACGAUGAAGCCGGAGCUUGCUCUGGUGGAUUAGUGGCGAACGGGUGAGUAACACGUGAGUAACCUGCCCUUGACUCUGGAAUAAGCGUUGGAAACGACGUCUAAUACCGGAUACGAGCUUCAGCCGCAUGGCUAGGAGCUGGAAAGAAUUUCGGUCAAGGAUGGACUCGCGGCCUAUCAGGUAGUUGGUGAGGUAAUAGCUCACCAAGCCUACGACGGGUAGCCGGCCUGAGAGGGUGACCGGCCACACUGGAACUGAGACACGGUCCAGACUCCUACGGGAGGCAGCAGUGGGGAAUAUUGCACAAUGGGCGCAAGCCUGAUGCAGCAACGCCGCGUGAGGGACGACGGCCUUCGGGUUGUAAACCUCUUCUAGUAGGGAAGAAGCGAAAGUGACGGUACCUGCAGAAAAAGCACCGGCUAACUACGUGCCAGCAGCCGCGGUAAUACGUAGGGUGCAAGCGUUAUCCGGAAUUAUUGGGCGUAAAGAGCUCGUAGGCGGUUUGUCGCGUCUGCUGUGAAAACUGGGGGCUCAACCCCCAGCCUGCAGUGGGUACGGGCGGACUAGAGUGCGGUAGGGGAGAUUGGAAUUCCUGGUGUAGCGGUGGAAUGCGCAGAUAUCAGGAGGAACACCAAUGGCGAAGGCAGAUCUCUGGGCCGUUACUGACGCUGAGGAGCGAAAGCAUGGGGAGCGAACAGGAUUAGAUACCCUGGUAGUCCAUGCCGUAAACGUUGGGAACUAGAUGUAGGGGCCAUUCCACGGUUUCUGUGUCGCAGCUAACGCAUUAAGUUCCCCGCCUGGGGAGUACGGCCGCAAGGCUAAAACUCAAAGGAAUUGACAGGGGCCCGCACAAGCGGCGGAGCAUGCGGAUUAAUUCGAUGCAACGCGAAG